GAUGAACGCUAGCGACAGGCUUAACACAUGCAAGUCGAGGGACCGGCGCACGGGUCAGUAACACGUAUCCAACCUGCCCUUUACUCGGGGAUAGCCUUUCGAAAGAAAGAUUAAUACCCGAUCUAAAAGAUGUGGCUGCGUGCCAUUAGGUUGUUGGUGACGUAACGGCCCACCAAGCCUUAGAUGGAUAGGGGUUCUUAGAUGAAGGUCCCCGACAGGGGAACUGGGGCACGGUCCAAACUCGUACGGGAGGCAGCAGUGAGGAAUAUUGGUCAAUGGGCGUUAGCAUGAACCAGCCAAGUAGCGUGAAGGAUGAAUGCUUAUGGGUCGUAAACUUCUUUUAUAUAAGAAUAUGUAUUAUAUGAAUAAGGAUCGGCUAACUCCGUGCCAGCAGCCGCGGUAAUAC
rnacentral:rRNA from 1 species